UACCAGCUCUCCGAGUUGUAGGGACGAUUAUUGGGCUUAAAGCGUCCGUAGCCGGCUUAGCAAGUCUCCUGUUAAAUUCAGCGACCUAAUCGUUGAGCCGCGGGAGAUACUACUAGGCUAGGAGGCGGGAGAGGUCGACGGUACUUUCGGGGUAGGGGUGAAAUCCUAUAAUCCCGGGAGGACCACCAGUGGCGAAGGCUGUCGACUAGAACGCGCUCGACGGUGAGGGACGAAAGCUGGGGGGAGCGAACCGGAUUAGAUACCCGGGUAGUCCCAGCUGUAAACGAUGCGGGCUUGGUGUUGGGGUGGCUACGGGCCACUUCAGUGCCGCAGGAAAGCCAUUAAGCCCGCCGCCUGGGGAGUACGGCCGCAAGGCUGAACUUAAAGGAAUUGGCGGGGGAGCACUACAACGGGUGGAGCCUGCGGUUU
rnacentral:rRNA from 1 species